rnacentral:rRNA from 1 species
UACGAAGGGGCUAGCGUUGCUCGGAAUCACUGGGCGUAAAGGGUGCGUAGGCGGGUCUUUAAGUCAGGGGUGAAAUCCUGGAGCUCCAACUCCAGAACUGCCUUUGAUACUGAAGAUCUUGAGUUCGGGAGAGGUGAGUGGAACUGCGAGUGUAGAGGUGAAAUUCGUAGAUAUUCGCAAGAACACCAGUGGCGAAGGCGGCUCACUGGCCCGAUACUGACGCUGAGGCACGAAAGCGUGGGGAGCAAACAGGG